GACGAACGCUGGCGGCGUGCUUAACACAUGCCAGUCGAACGGAAAGGCCCUGCUUGCAGGGUACUCGAGUGGCGAACGGGUGAGUAACACGUGGGUGAUCUGCCCUGCACUUCGGGAUAAGCCUGGGAAACUGGGUCUAAUACCGGAUAGGAGCCAUUUUUAGUGUGAUGGUUGGAAAGUUUUUUUCGGUGUAGGAUGAGCUCGCGGCCUAUCAGCUUGUUGGUGGGGUAAUGGCCUACCAAGGCGGCGACGGGUAGCCGGCCUGAGAGGGUGGACGGCCACAGUGGGACUGAGAGACGGCCCAGACUCCUACGGGAGGCAGCAGUGGGGAAGAUUGCACAAUGGGCGCAAGCCGGAUGCAGCGACGCCGCGGGGGGGAGGACGGCCUUCGGGUUGUAAACUCCGUUCGCUAGGGACGAAGCUUUUUGUGACGGUACCUAGAUAAGAAGCACCGGCUAACUACGUG
rnacentral:rRNA from 1 species